UGGGGCCUGCGGGUCACUCGCGUUUCCCGGCCACGAGGUGGGCCCAGGGGUGCACGAUCCUCUCCGUCCUCCCCCCCCCGCCCCCCCGCAACUGGCGCCCGAGGGGACAUGAGGGCGGCACCGGUGCCAAUCGCCUCAGGUGACCGAGUCCGGCACGGGGGUCGGCCACUAGGAGGACCCCCCCGAGGCGUCCCCAGCUAAACCAGCGUGCUCACCCAGCACCGUCCUCCGCGGAGAAAUCAGGCCCUCACUUCUGGUGGGUGCCCUGCACCAUCCUGGCUCAUGGGGCUUCAGCACAUGCGUGGGGGAGAGAAGCCUUCAGCCUCUCCGGUUAUAACACGCCCCCAAUAACGACCUGGCGACACAGAAAUCAACAGAGGCUACUCAACGGAAAGCUAAGUUCUGGAGAAACUUCCAAGGGAAGUGAAAAGAAUUUGGACCCUUCAAGUCCUUACCCGCCUCCAUCCACAAACACAGACUGGCAAUUCACAAGUCAGUGCGAGGUUUUCCACAUCCAACGGUUUGGAGGAAUGAGAAGAAAAAAAAAAAGUCAGAAGUAAAGCCCGCCGUACAGUGCCUUUCCUUGUCCUU